rnacentral:rRNA from 1 species
AGAAUCAACGCUGGCGGCGUGCCUAACACAUGCAAGUCGAACGAGAAAGUGGAGCAAUCCAUUAGUAAAGUGGCGCACGGGUGAGUAACACGUGACUAACCUACCCUUGAGUGGGGGAUAACCUAGAGAAAUCUGGGCUAAUACCGCAUAAUACCUUCGGGUCAAAGGAGCAAUUCGCUUAAGGAGGGGUCGCGGCCGAUUAGUUAGUUGGCGGGGUAAUGGCCCACCAAGACUAUGAUCGGUAUCCGGCCUGAGAGGGCGCACGGACACACUGGAACUGAAACACGGUCCAGACUCCUACGGGAGGCAGCAGUGGGGAAUUUGCGCAAUGGGGGAAACCCUGACGCAGCAACGCCGCGUGGAGGAUGAAGCCCCUUGGGGCGUAAACUCCUUUCGAUCGGGACGAUAAUGACGGUACCGAGAGAAGAAGCCCCGGCUAACUUCGCGCCAGCAGCCG